ACCUAGUUGGCUCAGUUGGUGGAGCAUGUGACUCCUGGUCUUGGGAUUGUGGUUUCGACCCCACAGUGGGUG
rnacentral:tRNA from 1 species